rnacentral:rRNA from 1 species
GAUGAACGCUAGCUACAGGCUUAACACAUGCAAGUCGAGGGAAACGACAUCGAAAGCUUGCUUUGAUGGGCGUCGACCGGCGCACGGGUGAGUAACGCGUAUCCAACCUGCCCACCACUUGGGGAUAACCUUGCGAAAGUAAGACUAAUACCCAAUGAUAUCCCACGAAGGCAUCGGAAUGGGAUUAAAGAUUUAUCGGUGAUGGAUGGGGAUGCGUCUGAUUAGCUUGUUGGCGGGUAACGGCCCACCAAGGCAACGAUCAGUAGGGGGUUCUGAGAGGAAGGUCCCCCACAUUGGAACUGAGACACGGUCCAAACUCCUACGGGAGGCAGCAGUGAGGAAUAUUGGUCAAUGGGCGAGAGCCUGAACCAGCCAAGUAGCGUGCAGGACGACGGCCCUAUGGGUUGUAAACUGCUUUUAUAAGGGAAUAAAGUGGGGCUCGUGAGCUCUUUUGCAUGUACCUUAUGAAUAAGGACCGGCUAAUUCCGUG